rnacentral:SRP_RNA from 1 species
ACUGGGCGUGGUGGCGCACCCCUGUAAUCCCAGCUACUUUGGAGGCUGAGGCAGGAGAAUUGCUUGAACCUGGGAGGGAGAGGUUGCAGUGAGUCAAGAUUGUGCCACUGCACUCCAGCCUGGGUAACAGAGUGAGAUUCUGCCUUUU